rnacentral:lncRNA from 1 species
GUUUUCACUCCCAAUUCAGAAUAUGCAAUAUCAACUCAUAAGUUUGAAUAGUUUCUUCUUUCAUAUCAACUACACACAACACACACUUUUUGAGGUCUUUUGGGUUGUAACAGGGCUUGGGUUAUGGUGUGGUAAAUACAAACAAAAGGGAAAACAAGUGGUUUUGGGUUCAGAGCCAAUGUCAUUAUUUUUUCUCACUAUGUUUGUUCAUUUUACUUCUUUUCUUUUUC